CCUACGGGAGGCAGCAGUAAGGAAUAUUGGACAAUGGUGGCAACACUGAUCCAGCCAUGCCGCGUGAAGGAUGACGGCCCUAUGGGUUGUAAACUUCUUUUGUAUGGGAAAAAACCUCUUUACGUGUAAAGAGCUGAUUGUACUAUAAGAAUAAGGAUCGGCUAACUCCGUGCCAGCAGCCGCGGUAAUACGGAGGAUCCAAGCGUUAUCCGGAUUCAUUGGGUUUAAAGGGUGCGUAGGCGGGAUUGUAAGUCAGUGGUGAAAGCCUGCAGCUUAACUGCAGAACUGCCAUUGAUACUGCAAACCUUGAGUACAUUUGAUGUGGGCGGAAUGUGUCAUGUAGCGGUGAAAUGCUUAGAUAUGACACAGAACACCGAUUGCGAAGGCAGCUCACAAAACUGUAACUGACGCUGAGGCACGAAAGCGUGGGUAUCAAACAGGAUUAGAUACCCUUGUAGUCCGA
rnacentral:rRNA from 1 species